GAUUUCUCGACUGCGACUGUUGACCGACCACGGUUUCGUGUGUACGUGUGAGCAGCGAGGUCGAUCCUUCUCAGCGCCGUCGGUACUACUCUUCACUGAGUCGGUACUCGGUCUGAGAUCUUUUACUUUGAAAAAAUUAGAGUGUUUCAAGCAGGCUCCUUUGCUAUGAAUACAUUAGCAUGGAAUAAUAAUUUAGGACUUUGGUUCUAUUUUGUUGGUUUCUAGGACUGAAGUAAUGAUUGAUAGGGAUAGUUGGGGGUGCUAGUAUUCAGCGGCCAGAGGUGAAAUUCUCGGAUUCGCUGAAGACUAACUUAUGCGAAAGCAUU
rnacentral:rRNA from 1 species